UACGGAGGGUGCAAGCGUUAUCCGGAUUCACUGGGUUUAAAGGGUGCGUAGGUGGGCUGGUAAGUCAGUGGUGAAAUCUCCGGGCUUAACUCGGAAACUGCCGUUGAUACUAUCAGUCUUGAAUGUUGUGGAGGUAAGCGGAAUAUGUCAUGUAGCGGUGAAAUGCUUAGAUAUGACAUAGAACACCGAUAGCGAAGGCAGCUUGCUACACAAUAAUUGACACUGAGGCACGAAAGCGUGGGGAGCAAACAGG
rnacentral:rRNA from 1 species